CAAUAGCGUAUAUUAAAGUUGUUGCAGUUAAAAAGCUCGUAGUUGGAUUUCGGGACGGGCCAGUUGGUCCGCCGCAAGGUGUGUUGCUGACUGGUCUGUUCUUCUUCGCAAAGACUGCGUGUGCUCUUCGUUGAGUGUGCGUAGGAUUUACGACGUUUACUUUGAAAAAAUUAGAGUGUUCAAAGCAGGCUAUCGCUUGAAUACAUGAGCAUGGAAUAAUGGAAUAGGACUUUGGUCCUAUUUUGUUGGUUUCUAGGACCGAAGUAAUGAUUAAGAGGGACAAUUGGGGGCAUCCGUAUUUCGUUGUCAGAGGUGAAAUUCUUGGAUUUACGAAAGACGAACAACUGCGAAAGCACUUGCCAAGAGUGUUUUCAUUAA
rnacentral:rRNA from 1 species